GCCAGGUGAGGGGCUGCGGCCCGACGGACCGCCCUGCCGCCCGCGCUUUCAUCUGUCCCCGGCUCUGCGGGGUUUCUGCGUCUGCCCGCCCUCCCUCGGUCUCCCCCACGCCCGUCCGCCCCUCCGUCCCCCUCCCGGCGCUCUCUGGCGCUUCUCCCUCGCUCGAGUUCCUCCUGCCCGCCCCUGUGCCUGUGCCCAGAGCCCCGCUCCCUGCCCGGCCGCCUCCCUCUCCCGCGUCCUCCCUGUCCCUCCCUGUCCCGCGUCCUCCGCUCCUUCCGUCCCUCUGCGCCGCUUUCCCUCCGUCUCCCUCCCUCCCCCUUCUCUGUUUCUCUCUCUCCCUCUCCGUCUCUCCCUCCCCAAUCUUUCUGUUUCUCCCCUUCUUCUCCCUCUCUCCCUCCCUCCGUCUCCCUCCCUCCCUCUUUCUCGGGUUCUCUAUCUCCCUCUCCCUCCUGGUGUCUCUCUCUCUCCCUCCUGUCUUCCCCUCUUGCUCUCCUCCUGUCUCUCCCUCCCUUCUUCCCUCCCUGUCUCUCUCCCUCUCUCUGUGUGUCUCUCUCCCCAUUCUGUCUCUCCCCAUCAUCUCUGUCUCCCUCACUCUCUCUCUAGCCCUCCUUCUCUCUCUCUCCCUCUCUGUGUCUGUGUCUCUCCUUCUCUCCUUCAUCUUUCUCUAUCCCUCUCUCUCCUUCUCUCUGUCCAUCUCUUUAUUUCCCAUCCCAUCUCUCUCAAUCACUGUUUCCCUCCACCCCACCUCUGCCAAUAUCUCUAUCCCCACCACCCCAUCUCUCUCCAUCUCUGUCUCCCCACACACCAUCUCUCUCCAUCUCCCUGUCUCCCCCACCCCAUCUCCUGUCUCUU
rnacentral:lncRNA from 1 species